GGGGGCGAAUUGGUUUCGACAGGAGUUGCAAUACAACGCAGGGCAUACCGAGGACCAGCUACCUCGUAAAUACAACUGGAAAACUAUAGUCGCAAACGACGAAAACUACGCUUUAGCCGCUUAAUACCGGCUGAACUCUGCACCGGUGGGCCUCAACGCCGGGCUUAGCAAUAAGCAGCAGAGUCAUUAACGAGGAUCGCGUUGCAUUGGGUCACUUAAUGCAGCGUUAAAACCAAGGUGACUCGCCUGGUCACAGCCCGCCGGUUGGCGUUGGCCAGGUAAAAUUAAAUAACAUGGCUAAGUAUGUAGAACUGUUUGUGGCGCGCUUUUGGACGCGGGUUCGAAACCCGCCGCCUCCACCA
rnacentral:tmRNA from 1 species